rnacentral:rRNA from 1 species
UACGUAGGCAGCAAGCGUUGUUCGGAGUUACUGGGCGUAAAGGGUGCGUAGGCGGCUUUUUAAGUUUGGUGUGAAAUCUCCCGGCUCAACUGGGAGGGUGCGCCGAAUACUGAGAGGCUAGAGUGUGGGAGAGGAAAGUGGAAUUCCUGGUGUAGCGGUGAAAUGCGUAGAUAUCAGGAGGAACACCGGUGGUGUAGACGGCUUUCUGGACCGUAACUGACGCUGAGACACGAAAGCGUGGGUAGCAAACAGG